AGCAGCCGCGGUAAUUCCAGCUCCAAUAGCGUAUAUUAAAGUUGUUGCAGUUAAAAGCUCGUAGUUGAAUUUCGGGGUUAGUAGGUUGGCCAUGCCUCUGGUAUGUACUGGUCUCACUGAUUCCUCCUUCCUGAUGAACCGUAAUGCCAUUAAUUUGGUGUUGCGGGGAAUCUGGACUGUUACUUUGAAAAAAUUAGAGUGUUAAAGCAGGCUAACGCUUGAAUACAUUAGCAUGGAAUAAUGAAAUAGGACGUUCGAUCCUAUUUUGUUGGUUUCUAGGAUUGACGUAAUGAUUAAUAGGGAUAGUUGGGGGCAUUAGUAUUCAAUUGUCAGAGGUGAAAUUCUUGGAUUUAUUGAAGACUAACUACUGCGAAAGCAUUUGCCAAGGAUGUUUUCAUUAAUCAAGAACGAAGUUAGGGGAUCGAAGACGAUCAGAUACCGUCGUAGUCUUAACCAUAAAACUAUGCCGACUAGGGAUCGGAUGAUGUUAAUUUUUUAAUGACUCAUUCGGCGCCUUAUC
rnacentral:rRNA from 1 species